rnacentral:rRNA from 1 species
UGGGGAAUAUUGGACAAUGGACCGAGAGUCUGAUCCAGCAAUUCUGCGUGCACGAUGAAGUUUUUCGGAAUGUAAAGUGCUUUCAGUUGGGAAGAAAGAAAUGACGGUACCAACAGAAGAAGUGACGGCUAAAUACGUGCCAGCAGCCGCGGUAAUACGUAUGUCACGAGCGUUAUCCGGAUUUAUUGGGCGUAAAGCGCGUCUAGGUGGUUAUAUAAGUCUGAUGUGAAAAUGCAGGGCUCAACUCUGUAUUGCGUUGGAAACUGUAUAACUAGAGUACUGGAGAGGUAAGCGGAACUACAAGUGUAGAGGUGAAAUUCGUAGAUAUUUGUAGGAAUGCCGAUGGGGAAGCCAGCUUACUGGACAGAUACUGACGCUGAAGCGCGAAAGCGUGGGUAGCAAACAGGAUUAGAUACCCUGGUAGUCCACGCUGUAAACGAUGAUUACUAGGUGUUGGGGGGUCGAACCUCAGCGCCCAAGCAAACGCGAUAAGUAAUCCGCCUGGGGAGUACGUACGCAAGUAUG